AUUGAACGCUGGCGGCAUGCCUUACACAUGCAAGUCGAACGGUAACGGGCCUUCGGGUGCCGACGAGUGGCGAACGGGUGAGUAAUGCAUCGGAACGUACCUUUCAGUGGGGGAUAACGUAGCGAAAGUUACGCUAAUACCGCAUAUUCUGUGAGCAGGAAAGCAGGGGAUCGCAAGACCUUGCGCUGAUUGAGCGGCCGAUGUCAGAUUAGCUAGUUGGCGAGGUAAAGGCUCACCAAGGCGACGAUCUGUAGCGGGUCUGGGAGGAUGAUCCGCCACACUGGAACAGAGACACGGUCCAGACUCCUACGGGAGGCAGCAGUGGGGAAUUUUGGACAAUGGGGGCAACCCUGAUCCAGCCAUGCCGCGUGAGUGAAGAAGGCCUUCGGGUUGUAAAGCUCUUUCGGCCGGGAAGAAAUCGUAUGGGCUAAUACCCUGUGCGGAUGACGGUACCGGCAUAAGAAGCACCGGCUAACUACGUGCCAGCAGCCGCAGUAAUAC
rnacentral:rRNA from 1 species